rnacentral:misc_RNA from 1 species
UACGUAGGGAGCAAGCGUUGUCCGGAAUGACUGGGCGUAAAGGGUACGUAGGUGGCUAUUCAAGUUGGUGGUGAAAUUCCGGGGCUCAACUCCGGCGCUACCGCCAAUACUGUUUAGCUUGAGUGCAGGAGGGGUAAGUGGAAUUCCUAGUGUAGCGGUGGAAUGCGUAGAUAUUAGGAGGAACACCAGUGGCGAAGGCGACUUACUGGACUGUAACUGACACUGAAGUACGAAAGCGUGGGGAGCAAACAGG